UUCCGGUUGAUCCCGCCGGACCCCACUGCUAUCGAGAUGGGACUAAGGUAUGCUAGUCGAAUGACUAGAAUUAUGUCUGGAAGUGGCACACUGCUCAGUAAUAUGUAGCUAACCUAUCCUUAGGACGUGGAUACCCCCGAGAAAUUGGGGUUAAUCCGCGAUAGAUGUAAUGUCCUGGAAUGGUAUUACGUCUAAAGGUAUUUCAUACAUGUUUGAAAUAUGCCUAAGGAUGGGGCUGCGGCCGAUCAGGUUGUUGGUGAGGUAAUGGCUCACCAAACCUUUGACCGGUACGGGCCAUGAGAGUGGUAGCCCGGAGAUGGAUACUGAGAUAAGGGUCCAGGCCCUAAGGGGCGCAGCAACCGCGAAACCUCCACAAUGCACUUAUGUGCGAUGGGGCUAUCUCGAGUGCCACCUGAUGAAGGUGGCUUUUCCUUGGUCUUUAAAGCCUUGGGAAUAAGAGGGGGGCAAGAUUGGUGUCAGCCGUUGUGGUAACACCAGCCCCUCGAGUGGUGGGGAUGAUUAUUUGGCCUAAAGCGUCCGUAGCCGGCCGAGUAAGUCCCCCGUUAAAUCCAGCGUCUUAAGCGUUGGACUGCGGGAGAUACUACUUGGCUAGAGAGUGGGAGAGGUCAGCGGUAUUCUGGGGGUAGGGGCGAAAUCCUUUGAUCCCCGGAGGACCACUAGUGGCGAAGGCUGCUGACUAGAACACGUCUGACGGUCAGGGACGAAGCUGGGGUAGCGAACCGGAUUAGAUACCCGGGUAGUCCCAGCCGUAAACGAUGCAUGCUAGGUGUUGGGUUGGCCAUGU
rnacentral:rRNA from 1 species